rnacentral:lncRNA from 1 species
ACUGACCGUUUGUUCAUGGUGAGGUCAGACUAGCUACAGACUGACCUGUGUGUUCAUGGUGAGGUCAGACUAGCUACAGACUGACCUGUGUUGUUCAUGGUGAGGUCAGACUAGCUACAGACUGACCUGUGUUGUUCAUGGGGAGGUCAGACUAGCUACAGACUGACCUGUGUUGUUCAUGGUGAGGUCAGACACGCUACAGACUGACCUGUGUUGUUCAUGUUAGACUGCAUGUGAGGUCGACUAGCUACACAACUGACCUGUGUUUGUUCAUGGUGAGGUCAGACUGCAUGGUGAGGUCAGACUAGCUA